ACCGGCUGCCCUGACCGAGCAUCGCUGCAUCGACCCACAACAAGGACCACCAUCCACCCCACCCCACCCCACCCCCUCUUCCCGCACGUGCGACAAGGUCACUGAAGUAGCGUUCCGGCGAACCACAAAGGCGACGAUACCAGCCAACAAAGGAAAAGAGCAAGACAAAGAGCGGCGUGGAGACCGCAAGCCGCGCAGGAGUGCCACCGCAUCCCGCCCAUCCACCUUUCCGCUACUCCAGGUGUUAGUGCGUUGUCUGCGUGUAUCGCGAGGAGGAACGGCGAGAAAAGGGGCGCGCGCUUGGCCGGUCUGUGCACACACACACACACACACACACAUAUAUAUAUAUAUAUCGCCAUCUUCCCGUUCCUUUUCUGUUCGAAGACUGCGGGGCACGUCCUUCUCUCUCCACCCCGCUCUGCUGCCUCACCACGGUUGCCCCUGCUUCCUGCAAAUGGCCUCUCCAACGCACAGCCAUGCGUCGAACACAGGCAGUCGACGUCACCACACGCCACUGUUGCAGGAGCGCAGCAACUCUUUGACUCGCCGGCAGGAGAUGCUGAAGCUCCAAAACGGUCAGUCGUCCACCCUGCACUACUCCGCAUCACCGCAGCAAGAGGGGGCGGACGCGGAUGCGGCUAUGCCGGGCACCGUCGUCGUGUGCGGUGUGCGCUCCGCGUUCCCGCUCAUCCCGCUGGCCGACGAGGCGCUAAUCGCAAGCUGCAGUGCGGUGCUCGAGACACCGUCGCCGCAGUGUUCGCCUAGCUCGCUGCGCGGUGUACCGUGUCUGCGUCGUCCGUCGUCGCCGACCGCGGCCACCCUCUUCCAGCGCCAGGACUCCGGCACCGGCAACGGCACCAGCGCCGCCGGAUUGCCGCCUGCCCUACGCACGCGCAAUCGUGCAGCCCACGACGCCACUGGAAGGCCGCCACGGGUGCGUCCAUACGACGGACAAGAGCAGCUGGCAGAGUUCGAUGCGGAAGCUGGCGUUGAGGAGGACCGCCUCAGUUGGGGGCUGGAGGAGGACGAUGGAUGCGAGGCAGAGGACGCAAGGUCCGCCAGCACCAACGCCGCAUCGCCGCACGAGAGCAAUGGGCGCAGCAGUGGGGAAAGUGCAGAGCGUCCCGACGUCGCCGUUGAGGUCAUUCAACCGCUUGUCGCGUCCAGCGAAGAGGCAUCACCCCCAUCCUGCACGAAGCGCGCUCCCCCACCCUCGCAGGUGGUAACGGCGUGCGUCGACGCGCACCCCAUCACGGAAACAGCCAAGGCUCACACACCACAAGCACGUCACUUAACUUAUAAUAGCGACAGCAGUCUGGACUGGCUCGGCGACGACCAGACCGCAAGCGAGGAGGUUCGCCCGCGAGACAGCCGCUACCCGACGCAAGAGUCGCUUGAGAACCACAGUGACGACUGCGAGGGUCGGCGUGCAUCGCAGUCGGCGGGCCAACCUCCAGCUCGCAGCUGCCACGCGCAGCUCGAACAGGCAACCGUAUCUCCUCCAUGUGCACCGACUACGCCGACGACUCAUCGGCAGAGUGUCCAGACCACGGAUGCCGAGGCAUCCGUGAAGACGAAUGCGGCAAGCUCCACCUUAGCCGCGCAGCUGCUCGCGAAGACGGAGGGGCGCCGCAGCUCCCCCGGUGCGGGAAAAGAGACGCUCGUUGUGCAGGGUGAAGUCAUGCCAGGCGUCCUGCAGACGGUUGGCCCACGUGUGAUGUCGGCGUCCUCGGAUGACCGUUCCCGGAACCAGCGUGCUGGUAAGGGCAGCAUCCACGUUCGUGCGGCAGAGGUAGAAGCGGCGCAUUCAGCCUCCUGGCAGACGCAGGGGCCGCAGGUGAUCUCCGCCUCCGAGACGUGUCGUGCGAGUCGACAGGCCGUGGAGUCUGUCGACCCGUGGUACACCGACGCCGAUCAGCAGCCGAGCCUGCUUCAAACGGUAAGCUCGUGCAACCUCUUGGGCUCGGCUACGGAUCUGUCGGGGGUGAACUCGCGGCGCAAAAUCUACGGAUCCAUGGUCGAGUACCACUCCAGCACGCCCGUCCAGGCAGAAGAGACGACGACCGUCAGCCAGGCUUCUCCCACAACAGCGGCAGAGGACAGCGCUGAUCAGCUACAAUCCCGAUGCGCCGGUGCUGCCCUGCCGCCUCGCUCGCCGGUUGACGAGAGUGCCUCAAAACGUCCUUCCCUCCUCGCCUCUCGGCCCUCAUCUCGCACGGGCACCAGCGACGUCGAGGAGGACUACGACGGCCAUCCGUCGCAGGCAAGGCGAGCAGACCCUAAGGGGGCGACGGAGAGCAUGGUGGCGGGUGCAGGUGACUGCCGCUGGGGCGAGGUGGAUGAGGUGCCUCCGAUGCAUCAGCCGCACACGCGCAAGGGCGAACUCCACGAUGAGGGUGGCAAGGAUGAUAUCAACGCGAUGAACGGCAGAAAAAACGAAAGCGAGGAACACCGCCAGCAGCAGCGCCCAGCGGAAGAGGAGCACGCUGUAGGAGCCGCAGCUGCGAGAGGAAGCGACGGCGAGCAUGGACUUGUGCUGCAGUAUCGCCCGCAGGUGCAGGUGAGCGCUCUGGAAGCGCAUCAGAUUCGUUCUUCUCGUGCCAUCGCGCGCGAAAGCAACAGUGAAAUCCAUCAAGAUGAGUCCAUCGACGUCCACGAGGAGAACGAGGAUAGCACGGAGUACAUCAGCUGCUACGACGUGGCCUGCCAGACAUCACAGCAUCUGCUGAUGUCGGUGCGAGAAGAGUGGCAGGGGCGUGCGCAAAGCCGGCAAGGAGCGAGUGGCGAGGGCGACGUCAGCAAGAUCGGCCCACUGGACCCUCACUACGUUGGUUCGAACCGGUGGAUGUGCGCUGCCGGGGUUUGCCCACAGUGCCAUCCCAAGCGGCGGGUGAGGGGGAGCAGCAGUGGUUUCGGAGGGCUUAGCAAGCUGACGUGGCCACUAGCCCCGCGCAGCACCUUGGGGUACAGCGCUCCACCUCGCUCUGUCCCGUUGCAGAGGCCCCAGGGGCCAGCGAGAGCGGCUACUGCAGGCCGCGACGCACGCCUCCCGCCGCUGGGGUCGUCCUUAAGCGCAUCGACACGCGCACACCCCCAACUCCCGCCUGCGUCGUUGUGCCAGCAGCGCGCUCAAAGGGCACCGUCUGCACGGCAGCACAGCAGCACGUAUGCGAGCAGUAGCAGCAGCGCUGGCCGUCACUACCGCCGCGACCGCUACUCGCCUACAGUCACCUCCUACCAGGGUGGAUACUGCUUCACGCGCGAGUGGGACGCACAGCAGCAGCAGCGGCAGUGUCGGCUGCGUGAACUGCAGAUGGAGCAGAGAGCCCGCCGCGGGGGCACCGGGGCGGCAUACACGUCCUUGCUGUUGCUGACAAGCCAUGACAUGCGGUCGAGGGAGCGGGCCGCCGGUAAGGAGCCCAGAACCUAUCGCUACUGCAACCUGGAGUCGCAGCAGAUGAUGGUGCACACGGGGGUCGGCCGCGCAGAUUUAGAACUAGAGAGCUACAACGACACGCUACACGGAGCCCCUCUCAUCGAGGCGCAGGAAGAAGACAAUGACGGUGCGGUGAAAGCGAUCGAGGCCUGGAAAGAUCGUGAGGUCAGCGAGCAGACACAGCUGCGUUAUCCGGCGGCCGCAGUUGUUUCCGCCGCAGGCAGCAGCAACGCCGCCACCAACCCCAGCCCCCGCUCCCACGCACGCCCGGCCGCCAGCGGCUCAGCCAAAGCGAGUCGGUUGUGCGUACUGUGCUGAACUGCUUGACCGUGCUACCACCCCCGUAUCUUGGGAGGAGGCGCUGGCCCCUCCCCCUCUCCAUGUCCUCUCGCCCGCCGCCAUCUCAUACCAGACAAGCUCACCCCGCUUUUCUCUCGCUCGUGCGUGCGUGUGCAAGCAAGAGAAUAAACGGGUUGCACGGCGGUGGCCGGUGAUUUGUUUGGACGGAGAUGCAUGUACGUUAUCGGCAAGGAAGGUGGUGACCCUUCCACGUGGCAGUCAUGUGGCAAGCUCAUCUAGCUGUAUGUAUAUGUGUAUGUGUUUGUUCUUAUUUUUUUUCUCUGCAACUCGUCUUCUCCCCUCCCAUCUUUCUCCCGCCCCUCUCUCUUGGGAAGUCUGUCGCGCGGAGCUGCACACGUGCACAACACGCAUGCGCGGUGGUCACUGCGCCCGAUGUCGGUGCUUCUCUACGCAUGUACAUUAGUAUUGUCGUUGCUGCUCUCUUUCUCCGUGGAUAUGAUUGGCCUCCUUUUUUUUUCGUUGUUGUUGCUGCACACACGCACACCCCAGCGGCGAAAGCAGGGUAGAAGGCGGUGUGUGUGUGUGUGUGUUUGUGUGUGGCGUCCUGCGUUGUAGGGACUAUGUACGUGUGUUCACUUCUUGUCGCCCUUCACCUCUUCUUGCACGUUGUAUUCUCUUAUGGUAGUUUGAUGGAUGUGUGCUUCUUGUUUGGUGAGGGAAGGGAGGGCGUGUGCGCAUAACGCGCCGCGAGGAGAGCGACCCUCUCUCUCUCUUCCCCACCCCCUCUUCUUCCCGCCGCCUCCCUCCGCCCUUAUACUUGCAACCCUCGGGACGACGACGGCGUGGUGCCCUCCUGACUCUCCAUGUCCUCUUUGUGUAUAU
rnacentral:misc_RNA from 1 species